rnacentral:rRNA from 1 species
GACGAACGCUGGCGGCGUGCUUAACACAUGCAAGUCGAACGGAAAGGCCCUGCUUUUGUGGGGUGCUCGAGUGGCGAACGGGUGAGUAACACGUGAGUAACCUGCCCUUGACUUUGGGAUAACUUCAGGAAACUGGGGCUAAUACCGGAUAGGAGCUCCUGCUGCAUGGGGGGGGUUGGAAAGUUUCGGCGGUCGGGGAUGGACUCGCGGCUUAUCAGCUUGUUGGUGGGGUAGUGGCUUACCAAGGCUUUGACGGGUAGCCGGCCUGAGAGGGUGACCGGCCACAUUGGGACUGAGAUACGGCCCAGACUCCUACGGGAGGCAGCAGUGGGGAAUAUUGCACAAUGGGCGGAAGCCUGAUGCAGCAACGCCGCGUGCGGGAUGACGGCCUUCGGGUUGUAAACCGCUUUCGCCUGUGACGAAGCGUGAGUGACGGUAAUGGGUAAAGAAGCACCGGCUAACUACGUG